AUCUGAUGAUGGGGGCAACUUGCACACAAUCUUUUGAAUCUCUCCUAAUACUCAUAUAAAAUUUCUCCAUGUUGUUGCCUAAUCCCAAAAAUAUCUUUUCUUAUUGC
rnacentral:snoRNA from 1 species